rnacentral:lncRNA from 1 species
UAAAUCAAGAAAGAGGGAAACAUGCGAUUCGGAAAGCAGGAGAGGAAAGAAGACAACAGCAACCCCUCGACGUUUCAGUCCACAAACCAUUUUAGGAUCACAUGAGGGAAGAAUGUGAGUCCUGGUGUGUCAGAAAACCUGUAGGCAUCUUUUGGUAUCGUGCUCAUUCUAUAAGCAUCCAGACUUGCAGGAUGAUGUCAAUGGCAUGGAAGAAAAUUGUGGAGAUCAGAGUCCUUUAAGAAUUAUUGCAACACUGACACCUAGGUAGUUCAAAGAAUGAUUCUCUAAACAGACAAACAGCAAAAAUGAGCACUGACAACUCUAAAAAGUGAUUCAGAAGAGAUGAACACUGAAUUCAAAGGUUUAAGGAUACUCAAUUUUGCGUAUUUUUUUGUAUGCCAAGAUUGAUAUAUGAUAAAACAUAUGUCUGAAUAAGAGCACUUUCAAUAUGUAUACGUUAAAAUUUUAACUAAUAAGAGCAUUUGAUUGGCAGCAAUUUUGUUUCUCAGUGGUUCAUAUUACAAGUUGAUGGUGCCAUAUAUUCAGUGAAAUCUGGGGUACUGGCUGUAAAUACCAAUGUUGAUUUUAAUUAAAACUGUCAUUAUAAUGGGAGGAUGGGGAGAUGGGAAAUGUUACGUGUGCUUUGGUGCGGGGAAGAACGGUGGUGGGUAAGUGGGAAAAAUCUUCACCUCUGUAACAGGAAUUCAAAAGAUGAAGACUGAGAUUGAUACAUAUUUUUUAGAAAUCGAUUUUAAAAAACAGAGAAACAACUAAAAGAGGUGAAGGUGGUUGUCCUUGGGAAAAGGGGUGGGCUAUGGGAGGAGUGGGUCGUCGGAGUUUUAAUUAAUACAUUUUAAUACUAUUUAACUUUUUAAACUCUGUGCAUCACUAAUUUGAUAAAAAUAAUUUUUGAAAUAAAUUAAAAAUAAAUAAAUGGUCUCAAAAAAGCCAUUCUGUGCUGUUCUCUCUAUAAACCUAUAUACUUUUUUGGGGGCAUAUGGCCUAACUUUUGGUUAGAGAAAUCUAUUCACUGUGAGAGGCUGCAGGAUGUAGCAGAAAGAGCUUAGUUCUGGUGUCAAUUGUCUGGAGUCAUCUUGGGUUUCUCG